GGGGUUGUGGCUCAGUGGUAGAGCACCAGCCUUGCAUACAGGAGGUCCCUGGUUCAAACCCUGGCAUCUCCA